rnacentral:rRNA from 1 species
UACGUAGGGUGCAAGCGUUGUCCGGAAUUAUUGGGCGUAAAGAGCUCGUAGGCGGUCUGUCGCGUCGGAUGUGAAAACCCAGGGCUCAACCCUGGGCCUGCAUUCGAUACGGGCAGACUAGAGUUCGGUAGGGGAGACUGGAAUUCCUGGUGUAGCGGUGAAAUGCGCAGAUAUCAGGAGGAACACCGGUGGCGAAGGCGGCUUGCUGGGCCAGUUCUGACGCUGAGGAGCGAAAGCGUGGGGAGCGAACAGG